rnacentral:lncRNA from 1 species
GAGGUUGGGACCCGACAGAAAAAGAGAAGGAUGACCUGCCCAGCUGAGGCAAGUCUGUGCUUCGUUUUCUGAUGUAACGAGGUAAUGAGGAAACGAACUGCGAGCGGACUGCAGCAGGGAGGGCGGUGCCCUUACCCUGAGCCUUUGCUCAGACUCGGUGACAGGCUCUCUGCCUGGAGGCGCGUCCUGGCCCUCGGCCGCUGCGCUCCAAGAAGCCUCCGCGACUCCUCUCCCCCCACCUCGCAAGUCUCUCACACACCCCCUGCCCAGGCACAAGAUGCCGAGUGUCCUCACCUUUCCUUCCGAAGGCCCGGCUCCUGGUCCCCGGAGCUGCCCCCAGGCUGCCGAGUGUGAGGUCUCUUGUCAUUCCUGCUCCCAGACCUCGGGCAGACAUGCCCGCAGACACCCCUGUGAAUGCCAGGCUCCCAAGCUUUUCCUCCUUUGCUGAAAACUGCUUUCCAUCUCAGUGCCUCCAUCCUUGCUCUUGGCGUUCGAAGCCCUUUUCCUGUCCAGGAACUCAAGGUGGCUGUGUCCCUUCACUGAAGAAAGAAGCACAAGCUUUAGCGUCACCGCCCUGCAUCCCGCGCCGGUCGCUCCCGUGUUCAGGUACCGCAGGAGGCACCAACAGCAGUCUUCCGUCGCUUCACUUCGGCUCCUAAAGCAAAGACAUAGCAGCGGCCAGUCCCUGGGAAGCGCCCCGGCCCACAGAGCCAGCCGCUUUCAGAGAGUCGCUCCUGCGGGUCCCGAGCAAUACAGACGGGUAUUUAGGGCAAGGGGUCGGUCACGAACAGUGCUCUUGGCCAGGUGGUGGGAUGUCGCGGCUUUGGUCCUCAAAGCAGCUCCUCACGCCUUUCAUCUCCAUCAGCUACUGCACCGCCUGGCGGAGACAACGAAAGCGCCUUUCGGGAGGCCAGGUGUGAGGGCAGAAGGUUAAGAAAUUAGAAGUGAAGGAAGGCUUCUGACACGACACAGGAGGUUUGCGUACUGCAGGCUGCUGGUGUACCAAAAGAAUUUUUACUCGUGCACUGUACGUGCGGGGAGUUUGCGACAGUCAAGGCUUUAGUGAAAUAAAAUGAGGAAACUGUGUGGGGACAACGGAUAGAAGACAGAAGGCGUUCGUUGGACGGCGAGGAAGUUGUCUGACAUCCAGGAAGCAGGCAGACGCCCGGUCAGGAAGGCAAGAGGAGCGGCAAGGAGACGUGCGGCCGACAGCAGCCCCGCAUGGGGACAGAGCAGGGAGGGGGACAGAGCAGGGAGGAGGCCUGAGGUUCAGCUGCGCGAAGCGAGGCCCGCCAGACCCUAACGGACGGGAGCCGGGCCUCCUUGGGGACCGCGAGCUCAGGAAAGAUGGCACGUUCGUGUCUGCAGUGCUUUGGAGAGGCAGACGCAUUCAUCCAGUCAAUCAACAAACGCCGCUGCCGACUGCUCAGCGGGCACCCGAGCAGGAGGCGGGACUGAACUGUGACCCGCUCUCAUCAAAGCCUCCCUCAGGGUCCCAGGGCUGCGAACAUCAGACACAGUGCAACCACCAGAGCGAAGCUGUGUGGACUCUUCAGAGGGCUUACUUCGCCAGCAGGAUCGUGUCUGAAGGUGCAGGACUCGACUUAAAAGAUAAAGCAGAGACCGCAGCUAAGAACCAGCUGAUCUGCGCCCAGGCCUGUCCUCUCUCUCUGUCACGUCCCGGCCCAAACGAGAUCACUGGUUUGAGAUGAAAGAGCUGAUGCCCAGACCUGGGAGACGCACGUGUCUGUUGUGUUUAAGUCCAGCCCAGGGAGGUCAAGGUCACGGGGCCGUCAAGAGGCUGUAAACAUGCACGAACACACGACAGAAGGCAGUGCGGGGGCUGCUCAACCAGCUCUGCACAUACGCGCAGCUAAGGGACAGUACGUACGCCCUGCUGGCGCCGUGGCACAAGGCGGCGUGUCACCUUCACUAAUUUUUUUGCCCCGUCGAGAAAGCAGUGCUGCUCUUUCUUCUCUUGCGCCAGCCACGCCUGACGCCAGUGACUCCACGGGCUGUGGCCCCUCGUCCAGAGGAGGCUCUCACAAAGCCGGAAACACGCGAGGCGGGGGCUGGGCAUGUGACCCCUGCCUGAGGACACCUUAUCAGCGCGUGAGGCAAGCUCGAAUCACAGGUUAGCCUCUCUAUUUUACGUUAUUUAAGGUAAUCUUCUCUAAUUAACACAAUCAGAGGAAAAUAAUACACUUUGGAGGCCAAAAAAGUGGCAUAUCUUAGAUCAAAGAUUUUGCCUGGUGAUUGUGUUUGAUUAUCCUUAAAAGCAUGCAUCGCAAGAGUUUCUAGAUUGUAGUAAUUUGAUUCUUGACUUUAUUUACUCUGUAUAGUCCUCGUUCUGAGAUUUAAAUCAUGAGGCGACAGGGGUCUCCUUUCACAAUGUUUAUAACGUUGGUAGCCCAGAGGGCCGCUGUAUAAACGAGACAUUUU